rnacentral:rRNA from 1 species
UAACACGUGGGGAACCUGCCCCAUAGUCUGGGAUACCACUUGGAAACAGGUGCUAAUACCGGAUAAGAAAGCAGAUCGCAUGAUCAGCUUUUGAAAGGCGGCGUAAGCUGUCGCUAAGGGAUGGCCCCGCGGUGCAUUAGCUAGUUGGUAAGGUAACGGCUUACCAAGGCGACGAUGCAUAGCCGAGUUGAGAGACUGAUCGGCCACAUUGGGACUGAGACACGGCCCAAACUCCUACGGGAGGCAGCAGGC